GAUGAACGCUAGCUACAGGCUUAACACAUGCAAGUCGAGGGGCAGCGGGAUUGAAGCUUGCUUCAAUUGCCGGCGACCGGCGCACGGGUGAGUAACGCGUAUCCAACCUUCCGUACACUCAGGGAUAGCCUUUCGAAAGAAAGAUUAAUACCUGAUGGUAUGAUGAGAUUGCAUGAUAGCAUCAUUAAAGAUUUAUCGGUGUACGAUGGGGAUGCGUUCCAUUAGGUAGUAGGCGGGGUAACGGCCCACCUAGCCAACGAUGGAUAGGGGUUCUGAGAGGAAGGUCCCCCACAUUGGAACUGAGACACGGUCCAAACUCCUACGGGAGGCAGCAGUGAGGAAUAUUGGUCAAUGGACGAGAGUCUGAACCAGCCAAGUAGCGUGAAGGAUGAAGGUCCUACGGAUUGUAAACUUCUUUUAUAAGGGAAUAAACCCUCCCAGUGUGGGAGCUUGUAUGUACCUUAUGAAUAAGCAUCGGCUAACUCCGUGCCAGCAGCCG
rnacentral:rRNA from 1 species